UUUUUUUUUUUUUUUUUUUUUUUUAAGCCAACAAGAAAACAAUGAGCUUCUUUAAAAGACUGUAUAGUUUAAUUUGGGAAUACCACCCAGAGAUAGGAAAAUAUCACAGUCCCAUAAUGAGAGGGUUUCUGAGGCCUUUUUGAAUGACAGACAUCUAUACAUACAGACAUAGACAGAGAUGCACACAACUCCAAUUCUAAAAUUUCAGCCAUGCGUUAAACUUGGUCCUCCUCUUUGUUCUCAAUCUUUCCUAGAUUGCACUUUGGAAUCCUCCUCUUUCCUCGAAGCUAGUUCUAAAAAAACCUCUCUUUGAAGCCUUGCAUCCACCCACAGUGGUGUCAUUUCUUCCACAACCCUUGUUCCUUUCUGAUCGGUUGACCUGGUCUAUGCAGAAUUACAGUUACUUGUAUAGAUUCCUCAUUUUCUCUUUAAAUCCAGAUUUAGUGAGGGCAGAGAUUAGAUUAUUAUCUAAUGUAUGUGUUUUUAUUAUCUAGUAUUAUCUAGUAUCUGUUAUUAUUAUCUAGUAUGGUGUUUCAGGCACCAUACUAGAUCACUUGAACAGUGAGUAGCAAAAGUGCAGGGAGCUGCCAGUUUGGAAGGUGAUAUGCCUUUGUCAUUCUCUGUAGGAUUGACAGUGGUUUGUUGCAUAAAUUAAUAAAUGAAUGAAUAACUUCAGGCUUACAUUCACCCUGACACUAAAAGAGAGGUAACUUUUUUUUUUUUCUUUUUUUGGAGGACUUUUUACAAACCCCGAGCCCUUAAGCACUUUGUACAAAUUUAAUCUGUACAAUGUCCAGACUCUUUGCUGGGUGCUUUAUAUACCUAUUUCUAACCUUUACAGCAAUCUUGUAAGGUAGAUCAUAUUGUCACCAUUUUACAAAGGAAACAACUAAUAAGUUUAUCCCAUUUGCCCUAAAUUAUGAUGCUUGUAGAUGCCAGUAUAUGGAUUUGAACCCAUGUCUGUCUGCCUCCAAAGCCCAGAGCCACACACUGAGUAUGGUUGAACUGCCUUGGAGAAAGCUUAGGUCAUAUAUUCCAGAGAACAAAUCAUAGGUAAGUCAUAGGUGAGUGUUGACAGAGGGAGUCUGUGCCCCUCAGGCACUUAACAACAGGUUAGACCACACAGGUGACCUAAGGGCCCCUCCAGGCUUCAGUUAGAUGAGUCCAGGUGGGAGCUAAGACCAGCAAGUGGUGACAUGCUAUGUGCAGGUGGUUCCCAGGGGGCAGAGGGCUGCUCUCACCUGGAACCACGUUCAGCCAGGCAGUCAGGAGCCCCCAGCUGCCAGGGAACAAUAAGAGCCAUUCAUGCCAGAAGCACACUCCUCCCACUGAGGCCAUAAGUCACAUUCCUUGUUUUAAAAUCAGUGCCCAGAGGUGGGCCUUUUGUGGAAGAGAUGCUGUGUAUGUAAAUGAGAACCAAUCCCAAAUGAAUUUUAGCCCUUCAGCUUUGCAGCAAGUGGCUGCAGUCAGUCUGAUGGUAAUGUUGGGAUGGAGGAGGAUAAGCAUUGCUGUCUUUGCCUGAGGGAUGACACAGCUGCCUUGGCUUCUAUAGGGAAUGAGGGCCAAUAGAAAGAGCAGGGAGUUUUUAGGACACGUUUACUCUGUUGAGGCUUUGCAGAUGUGAUCACAUUUAUUUAUCACAGUCACCCUGUGAGGUGAGCACUAUUACUAUCUUCCUCAAAUUACCAAUUAGGAAACAGGCACAGAGCGAGCUAAGCCCCUUGUCCCAUAUCACAAGUAAAUAGCGGCAGCAGGGUUUGAAACCGGACUGAAUCCAAAGACUGUGCUCUUAACCACUACAUUAUAUGGCAUCUCCAGGCAAAAAUAACCCAGAUCAUUAUAAUAAUGGCCACCCCUGAAGCAUACCUUCCUGUGUCCACACCACUUUGCAACCGGUCAGUGCUGCCUCGCUCAUCAAGAGGUGGAGUCUAUGGCUCUACUGUCUUGUGUUUGUUGUUGUUUUGAAUCGGGAAUAAUCCUGUGACUUGCUUGGACUAAUAGAAUAUGGUUGAAGAGACAUUGUGGGAGUUCCAGAGUCUAGACCUCAGGAAGCUUUGCCUCUUUGCCCACUCUUACCUUCUUAGAAUUCUGAGACUGCCACGUUGUUAGGAGGAAGGCCAGGCUAUCCUCUUGGAUGAUGAGAGGUCAUGUGGAGCAGAACCAAGGCCCUCCAGCUCACAGCCAGCACUGACUGCCAGUUGAGGAAGGCCCUCAUGGAUGUUCCAGCUUCAGCUGAGCUCCCUGUGCUUGCAGCUGUACCUGGGAGCCCUGGCAAAAGCAGCAUCAGAACCUCCAGGCAAUCCACAGAAUCAGAAAAAAAUCCAAUUGUUUUAAGUCACUAAGUUUUGAGGUGAUUUGUUAUGUAAGCAAUAGGUAACUGAAAUAGGGAGAUAUUUUUUCUUAAGAUUUUUAUUUAUUUAUUCACGAGAGACACAGAGAAAGGCAGAGACAUAAGCAGAAGGAGAAGCAGCCUCCCUGCAAGAAGCCUGUUAUGGGACUUGAUCCCAGGACCCCAGGAUCACGCUAUAAGCUGAAGGCAGACACUCAACCACUGAACCACCCAGGUGUCCCUGAAAUAGGUAAAUUUUAAAUUCAUUAUCUAUCUUGGACUGCCUGGGUUUUUGUUUUUGUUUUGUUUUGUUUUUUAAACAAUCUAGGGCUGCAUAAUGGAGAAUCACAGGAAAGUUGAGUUGGAGAGACCAUAAGACAGCAUAUAAUUAAACCCUUUUAUUUUAUAGAGGAAGAAACUGAGACCCACAAAGAAGUGACUUGUCCCAAGCCACAGUUUCUUACUGAGUCAGGGCUAGCCUCUCCAGAUUCCCAUGUCUAGAGCUCCUUGCUAUACGAUACUGCCUAACUACUCAUGCAGUAAGAGGAUGAAAAAGUUAUUUCCAACUAAUUUCAAGGAUGAACACUAAAAGCCAUUUGUCAUUCAUAUUCUUAAAUUUUCAUGAUAUCCAUGCAAAUAUACUGAUAUGCCAAGGACUCAUAAAAUGUCAGGAAGCAAUUACUGGAAGGAAGACAGUGAGCUGUCAUAAUUGGGUAUACAUUGUCUCUCACGGGAUCUGCGCAUUUAUGCGUGUGCCAGCUCCUGGGUAGAUCAGAUGUUCUCAUAUUGGUUGUGCACUGGAAUCAUCUGAGGAGUUUUAAAGAAUAUCUGAGGUAUGGCUCAGGAAUUAAGAGUUUUAAAACCAGUUCAGGGUGAGUCUAAUGAGCAGGUGGGGCUGAGAGCCUCUGCCCUGGACGGUGAGUUCCCAGGGGGCAAGAUUUUCUCUUUCAUAUCCCCAGGAGUACCAUACCGCAGAGCAGUUGAUGAUUGAAACCAAGGGCACAAUGCUGAAAGUACUCAGAGCAGCUAUGCACAGUGGAAAGCACGUGGGCCUUGACAUCAGGAAUAUCUGUCUCUGUCUCUCAAUGUUGCUGCCUAGUAGUUGUGUAAUCCUGUGUGCAAUAGUCUUUCUGAGCCACCUGUAAAGUGGAUAUAAAGAUGAUCCUGACUUCCCAGGGGUAUUAAGAAGCUCAACUGGUUAUUUAGCUUUGAAAAAGUUCCUUGAUAACAGUAAAGAUGUUGUCAAGUAUUGUUAUUUCCAUUCAAAAUAGAAACAGAGAAGCUUUUGAGGCACCUUGGUGGCCCAGUUGGUUAACAGUCGACUCUUAAUCUCAGUUCAGGUCUUCAUCUCAGGGUCGUGAGUUCAGUCCCUGUGUUGGGCUCCACAACAGGUGUGGGGCCUACUUUUUAAAGAAAUUUUAAAAA
rnacentral:lncRNA from 1 species